GGAAAAUAUUAAUUUUGCGGCAUCAAAAGGCACGCAGCGGGGAACCGGGUGAGAGUCCCGGACAGGGCCGCUGCCGUAACGUCAGCCUUGAAGCACGCCACAGACCCCGCAAAACGGGGUUUAUCCACUGAGCAAAUGCAUAGGGAAGGAGGCGUGUGGAGCUGCGAAGUCGGAAUACCAGCUGUGGUGCCGGAAUUGUU
rnacentral:ncRNA from 2 species